AUAUUUUUUCUUUUUGAUUAUGCCGCAAUCAUAACCAACAAAGCAUCUGUAAAAAAAAUCGUGUUCUAGCGGAUGUAUAUUAUCAGUGAAAAGAAAUUGGUGAAAAGGAAUUGGGCGAGCUGCGAUAUGAUUCCCCCUACGAAUUAGGGUCGUGAAAGUGAAAAGGAAUUGGGAAUUGGGGCUGCUGUGAGUGGUGAAAAGAAAGUGGGCGAGCUGCGAUGCGAUUUCUCCCUGUGAAUUAGGGAUGUAAAAGUUAAAAGGAAUUGAGAAUUGGGGAAUUGGGGCUGGUGUGUUUUUAGAUUUCUCCCUGCGAAUUAGGGCUGUGAAAGUGAAUUGGGGUUGCGUUUUUAGCAAUUUAUGCGAUUUGGAAUUGGAACCCUACUCCGCAAUUGAUUGUAGAUCGGCAGAGUUGAAUUAGGUCAAACUUACUGGUAACAGAACUCCCAAAGCUAAAGCUUAGUUUUAUGUAA
rnacentral:lncRNA from 1 species